rnacentral:rRNA from 1 species
AGUGAACGCUGGCGGUAGGCCUAACACAUGCAAGUCGAACGGCAGCACAGUAAGAGCUUGCUCUUACGGGUGGCGAGUGGCGGACGGGUGAGGAAUACAUCGGAAUCUACUUUUUCGUGGGGGAUAACGUAGGGAAACUUACGCUAAUACCGCAUACGACCUACGGGUGAAAGCAGGGGAUCUUCGGACCUUGCGCGAUUGAAUGAGCCGAUGUCGGAUUAGCUAGUUGGCGGGGUAAAGGCCCACCAAGGCGACGAUCCGUAGCUGGUCUGAGAGGAUGAUCAGCCACACUGGAACUGAGACACGGUCCAGACUCCUACGGGAGGCAGCAGUGGGGAAUAUUGGACAAAGGGCGCAAGCCUGAUCCAGCCAUACCGCGUGGGUGAAGAAGGCCUUCGGGUUGUAAAGCCCUUUUGUUGGGAAAGAAAAGCAGCAGGUGAAUACCCCGCUGUUCUGACGGUACCCAAAGAAUAAGCACCGGCUAACUUCGUG